UAAAAAACUGGUUCUUGUCUGAACACCAAAGUUAAGCAAUGUUGAGCCUGGUUAGUACCUGGAUAGGUGGUAGCUUCGGAAUACCAGGUGUUGUAA